GACCAUAAGAGCAGAUAAAAGCGGCGUGAGACCGUAAUUUGCGCGAAAGCCGGUGUCCAAACGGCGAUCCGGCCACGGAAGUGGCAUUGGAGGACCAACUAACUAACUUCUCCCAGUAGAUGCUAACCACGUGGAUCAGGAUUCAGGAAAUAUCAAACCCUCUAGAAGGCCGCAUAUAAUUUCCUAUGCGAAGUCAAAUAAACCGCCCGUUGCAUCCGUGGACUCAUCUCGUCAGCUCCUUCAAGACUUCCCGCCCGGGCGAAAGUAACGAGCGAAUACGCGACCGCAUAUAACCACCAGCACGGGAGCUAGCCAUUUUCCGCGGAUCGCCUCGGUUGACGAUUUUAAACGUCUCUCGCCCAGGCUUUAGGAGAAGAAGAAGAAGACUAAAGAAGAAAGCCAAAGGGUUAGAGAGAGAGAGAGAGAGAGAGAGAGGGUUGGGUUUCGCCGGCCGACGAUCACCGGCGAUGCUGGAGCUGAACACGACGAGGCAACCGGGUGGGCCGCCUCCGCCUCUCCCGGCGCCGACGCCGCCGGGGACGGAGCAGCAGGCGGAGGGGGCAGGGAUCCUGCUGCAGAUCUCGAUGCUGGUGCUGGCGUUCGUCCUUGGCCAUGUUCUCCGCCGCCACAAGAUUUACUACCUCCCGGAGGCCAGCGCCUCCCUUCUCAUCGGUUUAAUUGUUGGAGGACUGGCUAACAUAUCAAAUAAAGAAACCAGCAUUCGGGGGUGGUUCAAUUUCCAUGAGGAAUUCUUCUUCCUAUUCCUGCUACCUCCAAUUAUAUUUCAGUCAGGUUUUAGCUUAGCACCGAAACCUUUCUUUUCAAAUUUUGGAGCUAUCAUCACAUUUGCUCUUUUGGGAACUUUAAUUGCCUCAAUUGUUACAGGUGUUUUAGUAUACCUUGGUGGGUUAACAUAUCUCAUGUAUAGACUGCCUCUGGGCGAAAGCCUAAUGUUUGGUGCUCUUAUAUCAGCAACUGAUCCUGUCACCGUGCUAUCUAUAUUUCAGGAACUUGGAACUGACAUGAACCUCUAUGCCUUGGUUUUUGGAGAAUCUGUUCUAAAUGAUGCAGUGGCAAUUUCCUUGUACAGGACAAUGGCAUCUGUAAGAAGUAAUGAUUCAUCAGGACAAAACUUAUUGUUGGUUAUUCUGAGUUUUCUUGAGACAUUUGUUGGCUCAUUGUCUUCAGGGGUCGGAGUUGGAUUCAUUUCUGCUCUUCUCUUUAAGUAUGCUGGGCUGAAUGUUGAAAAUCUUCAUAAUUUGGAGAGCUGUCUCUUUGUCCUUUUCCCUUACUUUUCGUACAUGCUAGCUGAAGGUCUUGGCUUGUCCGGUAUAGUUUCAAUACUGUUCACUGGAAUUGUCAUGAAGCGCUAUACAUUCUCAAAUUUGUCAGAAAAAUCUCAACAUUUUGCUUCUGCUUUUUUCCAUUUGCUUUCAUCUUUAGCAGAAGCUUUUGUAUUCAUAUACAUGGGCUUUGACAUUGCGAUGGAACAACAAAGCUGGUCCCACAUUGGGUUCAUCUUUUUCUCAAUUCUGUUUAUAGGUGUUGCAAGAGCUACAAAUGUCUUUUCUUGUGCUUACCUGGUCAACUUGGUGAGACCAGCAAAUCGGCAAAUACCUAUGCAACAUCAGAAGGCACUUUGGUAUAGUGGACUUCGAGGGGCAAUGGCUUUUGCCCUUGCUCUGCAAGCAGUCCAUGAUCUCCCUGAUGGACAUGGCCAGACAAUCUUCACUGCUACCACUGCUAUUGUUGUUUUAACACAAGCCUGUGUGUGGAAAAAGGUGGUGUUGGAAGUAGCAAUUGCAGCAAACAUCUGUACAGCCUGUCUAUUUGGCUUACCCCCAACUGAAAAUAAGAGCUCACAAAAUAAUUUAUUAUGGUCAUCCACAUUUUGCUUUCAAGGUGCUUUUGAUUGGAGGCUCAACAGGCACAAUGCUUGAAGCUUUAAAAGUUGUUGGUGAUGGUCACAAUGGUCGAUUAGGAGAUCAUAUGAGUUUGGGGACAGAUGGCUCCACUGGACCAUCAUAUGAUGAGGGAACUUCAUCCGGAAGCAAGCUGCAGAUGACACUUAAAGAGUUUCACAGCACUGCCUCUUUGACUGCAUUAGAUAGACAUUAUCUUACGCCAUUUUUCACAUCCCAAAAUGAUGACGAGAAUCCUGAUGAGGCAACCCAAAAUUCUAGAAGAAUAACAGAACUUGAAGGCCACGAGUGAAAUCAUGGUCUUCUUCUCAGCAUGCCAAAAGAAGCAGCUUUUAUUGUGCUUAAUGGAGCUCUCUAAAAUACACAGCUGAGCAUUUUUGCGAGUAGAUGCAGAUAUUUGUUAACUGCACAUGCAUUGUCCUGCAUAUUGAUGUGAUAGAGAAAAAUAUCACAUAACAGCACGGUAUGAUCUCUCUAAAUGACGAGAAGUUUCAGUUAGCUUGAUAUGUAUACAUCUACUUAUGAUACAGAAAAGCAAUUGAUAGCAGUACUGUUCAUGAAUGUCCAUUUGGGUUUCUAUUCAAACUGUAAUUCGUUCAACUGUGCUGCAUAUCCAGAUUAUGAUCUUUCAUCAUGGUUACUGUAAAAUCAUCGUGGUUUUGAAAUGUAGAGAGUGCUCUGAAAAAGCAGUGUAAGAACAACUCCACAACUGAUUCGAUUCUGCUGCUUUUUAACAGCAAGUAUAUUUUUUGAAUGGAAGUUGUAGUAAUACAUUGAGUGA